rnacentral:misc_RNA from 1 species
GAUGAAGAACGUAGCGAAAUGCGAUACUUGGUGUGAAUUGCAGAAUUCCGUGAAUCAUCGAAUCUUUGAACGCACAUUGCGCCCCCUGGUAUUCCGGGGGGCAUGCCUGUCCGAGCGUCAUUGCAACCCUCAAGCGCGGCUUGUGUGUUGGGCUUCGUCCCCCCGUGGACGUGCCCGAAAGGCAGUGGCGGCGUCCCGAAUGGUGCCCGAGCGUAUGGGAACUCUCUUCCGCUCGAACCGGCCCAUUCGGCGCUGGUCGAACCCCAAUUUUUUUUUACCGGUUGACCUCGGAUCAGGUAGGGAUACCCGCUGAACUUAAGCAUAUCAAUAAGCGGAGGA